GUACUUACUUUGGCUGUACAUAUAAUAAAAUUGGAACAAUACAGAGAAGAUUAGCAUGGUCUCUGCAUAAGGAUAACACGCAGAAUCGUUCCACAUUUUU